CAUGCAGUCGAACGAUGAACCUCACUUGUGGGGGGAUUAGUGGCGAACGGGUGAGUAACACGUGAGUAACCUGCCCUUAACUCUGGGAUAAGCCUGGGAAACUGGGUCUAAUACCGGAUAUGACUCCUCAUCGCAUGGUGGGGGGUGGAAAGCUUUAUUGUGGUUUUGGAUGGACUCGCGGCCUAUCAGCUUGUUGGUGAGGUAAUGGCUCACCAAGGCGACGACGGGUAGCCGGCCUGAGAGGGUGACCGGCCACACUGGGACUGAGACACGGCCCAGACUCCUACGGGAGGCAGCAGUGGGGAAUAUUGCACAAUGGGCGAAAGCCUGAUGCAGCGACGCCGCGUGAGGGAUGACGGCCUUCGGGUUGUAAACCUCUUUCAGUAGGGAAGAAGCGAAAGUGACGGUACCUGCAGAAGAAGCGCCGGCUAACUACGUGCCAGCAGCCGCGGUAAUACGUAGGGCGCAAGCGUUAUCCGGAAUUAUUGGGCGUAAAGAGCUCGUAGGCGGUUUGUCGCG
rnacentral:rRNA from 1 species